UACGUAGGGUGCGAGCGUUAAUCGGAAUUACUGGGCGUAAAGCGUGCGCAGGCGGUGAGCUGUGUCCGAUGUGAAAGCCCCGGGCUUAACCUGGGAAUGGCAUUGGAAACUGGCUCGCUGGAGUGUGGCAGAGGGGGGUGGAAUUCCGCGUGUAGCAGUGAAAUGCGUAGAGAUGCGGGGGAACACCGAUGGCGAAGGCAGCCCCCUGGGCUAACACUGACGCUCAGGCACGAAAGCGUGGGGAGCAAACAGG
rnacentral:rRNA from 1 species